rnacentral:rRNA from 1 species
GGGGAAUAUUGCGCAACGGGGGAAACCCUGACGCAGCGACGCCGCGUGAGCGAAGAAGGCCUUAGGGUUGUAAAACUCUGUUUUAAGGGACGAAUGUCGUGGGGAGUAAUAUGCUCUGCGAAUGACGGUACCUUAAGAGGAAGCCCCGGCUAACUACGUGCCAGCAGCCGCGGUAAGACGUAGGGGGCGAGCGUUGUCCGGAAUUACUGGGCGUAAAGAGCACGUAGGCGGGAACUUAAGUCAGGUGUGAAAGACCGGGGUUCAACUCCGGGGUUGCACUUGAAACUGGGUUUCUUGAGGGCAGGAGAGGAAAGCAGAAUUCCUGGUGUAGCGGUGAAAUGCGUAGAAAUCAGGAGGAAUACCAGUGGCGAAGGCGGCUUUCUGGACUGACCCUGACGCUGAGGUGCGAAAGCGUGGGUAGCAAACAG